rnacentral:rRNA from 1 species
AUUGAACGCUGGCGGCAGGCCUAACACAUGCAAGUCGAGCGAGUGGCGGACGGGUGUGUAAUGUCUGGGAAACUCCCCGAUGGAGGGGGAUAACUACUGGAAACGGUAGCUAAUACCGCAUACCAUCGGAUGUGCCCAGAUGGGUUUAGCUUGUAGGGGAGGUAACGGCUCACCUAGGCGACGCUCCCUAGCUGGUCUGAGAGGAUGACCAGCCACACUGGAACUGAGACACGGUCCAGACUCCUACGGGAGGCAGCAGUGGGGAAUAUUGCACAAUGGGCGCAAGCCUGAUGCAGCCAUGCCGCGUGUAUGAAGAAGGCCUUCGGGUUGUAAAGUACUUUCAGCAGGGAGGCGUUACCCGCAGAAGAAGCACCGGCUAACUCCGUGCCAGCAGCCGCGGUAAUAC